AGCGAACGCUGGCGGCAGGCCUAACACAUGCAAGUCGAACGAACUCUUCGGAGUUAGUGGCGGACGGGUGAGUAACACGUGGGAACGUGCCUUUUGGUUCGGAAUAACUCAGGGAAACUUGUGCUAAUACCGAAUGUGCCCUUCGGGGGAAAGAUUUAUCGCCAUUAGAGCGGCCCGCGUCUGAUUAGCUAGUUGGUGAGGUAACGGCUCACCAAGGCGACGAUCAGUAGCUGGUCUGAGAGGAUGACCAGCCACACUGGGACUGAGACACGGCCCAGACUCCUGCGGGCGGACGCGGUGGGCCUCUUGCGCCCUGGGCGACAGCCUGGCGCAGCCAUGCCGCGUGAAUGAUGAAGGUCUUAGGAUUGUAAAAUUCUUUCUCAGGGGACGAUACUGCCGGUCCCCGGCGCCGAAGCCCCGGCUGCCUUCGUG
rnacentral:rRNA from 1 species